ACGGGUGAGUAAUGUCUGGGAAACUGCCCGAUGGAGGGGGAUAACUACUGGAAACGGUAGCUAAUACCGCAUAACGUCGCGAGACCAAAGUGGGGGACCUUCGGGCCUCACACCAUCGGAUGUGCCCAGAUGGGAUUAGCUAGUAGGUGGGGUAACGGCUCACCUAGGCGACGAUCCCUAGCUGGUCUGAGAGGAUGACCAGCCACACUGGAACUGAGACACGGUCCAGACUCCUACGGGAGGCAGCAGUGGGGAAUAUUGCACAAUGGGCGCAAGCCUGAUGCAGCCAUGCCGCGUGUAUGAAGAAGGCCUUCGGGUUGUAAAGUACUUUCAGCGGGGAGGAAGGCGAUGUGGUUAAUAACCGCGUCGAUUGACGUUACCCGCAGAAGAAGCACCGGCUAACUCCGUGCCAGCAGCCGCGGUAAUACGGAGGGUGCAAGCGUUAAUCGGAAUUACUGGGCGUAAAGCGCACGCAGGCGGUCUGUCAAGUCGGAUGUGAAAUCCCCGGGCUUAACCUGGGAACUGCAUUCGAAACUGGCAGGCUAGAGUCUUGUAGAGGGGGGUAGAAUUCCAGGUGUAG
rnacentral:rRNA from 1 species